GCAGUCGAGCGGGGUUACUUAGAAGCUUGCUUCUAAGUAACCUAGCGGCGGGACGGGUGAGUAACACGUAGGCAACCUGCCCACAAGACAGGGAUAACUACCGGAAACGGUAGCUAAUACCCGAUACAUCCUUUUCCUGCAUGGGAGAAGGAGGAAAGGCGGAGCAAUCUGUCACUUGUGGAUGGGCCUGCGGCGCAUUAGCUAGUUGGUGGGGUAAAGGCCUACCAAGGCGACGAUGCGUACCCGACCUGAGAGGGUGAUCGGCCACACUGGGACUGAGACACGGCCCAGACUCCUACGGGAGGC
rnacentral:rRNA from 1 species